UACGUAGGGUGCGAGCGUUAAUCGGAAUUACUGGGCGUAAAGGGCUCGUAGGCGGCCAACUAAGUCAGACGUGAAAUCCCCAGGCUCAACCUGGGAACUGCGUCUGAUACUGGAUGGCUUGAAUCCGGGAGAGGGAUGCAGAAUUCCAGGUGUAGCGGUGAAAUGCGUAGAUAUCUGGAGGAAUACCGGUGGCGAAGGCGGCAUCCUGGACCGGCAUUGACGCUGAGGAGCGAAAGCCAGGGGAGCGAACGGG
rnacentral:rRNA from 1 species